ACCUUGAUCUGGCAGGGGAGAUACAAUGAUUGCAAAGUUGAGUUUCCAAGGGUGAGGCUCAUCCAUUACACUCUGGGUGUGCUAACCCCUGCAAUUUCCUUAAACGCAGGAAACUUGAGUGCAUAAUUUGUGGCAAUGGGGGACCAUAUUUGUGCUUUUCCCUC